rnacentral:lncRNA from 1 species
UGAAAGGCUGUGUCUUGUGGGAGCUCUUUCCUAACUCCUUCCCAUCCAUCUUUACUUCUCUCCUGUUUUUUAUUCCCGUUUCUCCUUUCUCUCUUCUCUCUCACCCUGAUCCACAUAAUGUAUUGCAUUUCGAUUUCGAUUGUGACUUGUUUUCCCUGUAACUUUUGCUGGAAAAAAUUAAGAAAAAUUACUCCUAUCUCUGAUGUCAGUAACAGACUUCCCAUAUACACUGUUGGGAAUGGAGAUAGCGACCCUGAUCCUGAGAAACAGGAGUCACCCAGACCAUCCUAUCCAGCACCUGUGGCCUGGGGAAUCCCAAGUUUCCAAAGGAAUCCAAAAGUGGUCCCACAGGGGGAAAAUGAUAGAAAUGUUGCCUGGCAGUCGUUUUGGACGAGACGAAAAGUGGCCCCACAGGUGAAAAAAUUACCUAUGGUAAUACAAACAAGAUUGUUAUUUCAUAUCUCCUCUGUAUUCCUUCCAUGCAUUUUCACGCAUAAAUAUUUUCUUUUAAUUCUUUUUC